rnacentral:rRNA from 1 species
AGCCGAUGCUUAUUCUUCAGGUACACGUCAUUUUACUCCUCCCUGAAAAAAGAGGUUUACAACCCAUAGGCAGUCUUCCCUCACGCGGUAUUGCUCCGUCAGGCUUUCGCCCAUUGCGGAAAAUUCCCCA